CACCUUUCACUUCUGCCCUCAUUUCUCCAGUGAUUUAAAAAAAAAUUAUUUUGGCAAUUUAUCUGAAACAUUACCGAUAAUAGUGAUGGAGAGAGGUUGGGCAGGGACAGUGGGCUGCAGAAGCGUCCAGUGCAAAGUCCAGAUUUCCCCUUAAUCACAGGCUGGGAAGAAUGUGACCAGUAGCCAGAACAGUCAAUGAGGAGAGGAGAAGGGACUUCCAAGACAAAAGGAAGGGGAGCAAAGGUAAUUGCUAUCUGGUAAUUGCCCGAUGUCAUACAUGGGAAUACAACAGAGAACAAAUGGACAAAGUCACUGCUGUCAUGGAGGGGAGAUGAAAAAGUAGCACAGAGAGCUCAUCUCCAUGAAAGGCUGCAAAUACCAGAUGCCUGCCUUGCCUGCCUUUCAGUCAACGCAUGAACGAGUCGUCCAAAAACCCCCACAACGGUUCCAUAAGUUGUAGCUUAUGGUCAAAUAGAUGGGAAAAGGGAGAGACCGCAAGUCACGAGCCAGUCAGGAGGCUUUCACCGGAUUCUAGAACAGAGGGCCAUGUCCUGUCUGUAAGAAAAAAACGACAUUGGAAGAAAAACUGUCCUCAUCUCCAGAGAGAGAGGGAGACAGGAACUCACUUCCCUGCCUGAGAGCAGGAACCAGAGGAUCUGGCGUGAUGGGGCCCUGAGGCUGGUCUGGCUCCCUUUGACAUCAAGAUGACUGAGCCCUGGAUUACUCUGGAUGUGGAAGGCAAGUUUAUCAAUUUUGUUAUUGAUAUAGGAGCCACUUUCUCUGUUCCUAUUCAGCACUCCGGUUCUGCUUGUUUUUCUAACCAUAAAAUUGUUGGCAUAGAAGGGGAAACUACGUGCCAUUGGACAAUGCCUUUAACCUGUAUAUACAAAAGUCAAUGGGUUACUCAUGUUUUUCUACUUCUUCUGUCUUGUCCUACUCCAUUACUUGGACAAGACUUAAUGUGUAAACUGGGAAGCAGGUUUUCCCUUACUAAAGAGGCUUGUUCUCUUUAACACCUGGAGAGCUAAAACCUUAUCCUGCUAUCCCUACUACUAGCUGGAAGGAAAUAAAUCCACAAGUCUGGGAUUGUGGAUGUCCUAGGACAUCCUAGGAAGCCCUAGGACGGCUCUUAAAGCCCAACCAGUUAAAGUGAUUUUAAAGAACCCAACCAGGGGUGCCUGGGUGGCUCAGUCGCUUAAGCAUCCAACAUUGGCUCAGGUCAUGAUCUCAUGGUUCCGAAUUGGAGCCCCACUUUGGAUCCUCUGUCUCCCUCUCGUUGUCCCUGCCCCCAACUCUAAAAUAAAUAAACAUUUAAAAAAGAUAAAUAAAUAAAGGACCCAAUCACUACCCUUCAUAGAAAACAAUAUCCCUUAAAACCUGAGGCAAAGGCUGGAUUGCAACCACUUUAUUGGUAAGUUUCUCAAACAUAGUAUUUUAAAGCCUUGUCAAUCUCCUUAUAACAAUCCAAUUUUACCAGUCAAAAAGCCAAGUGGGGACUAUUGAAUGGUACAAGACUUGAGAACUAUAAAUGAAGCUUUAUGCCUGUUCAUCCCAUAGGCCCAAAUCCCUAUACUAUUUUCACCCAGGUCCCUGGUGAUGCCCACUGGUUUAUAGUACUCAUUUAAAAGACACCUUCUUUUGCAGCCCUCUAAGUGAGGAAAUGCAGCCACUAUUCGCCUUUGAAUGGGCCUCACCUUUGAGCCCCCAGGCUAUUCAGUUAACAUGGAUGGUCUCCCCAAGCCACCACUGGGAUUUAGAGACAGUCCUCACCUUUUUUGAGACUGCAUUUAGUAAAGACCUUCAUGCUAUCGCCUUGCCUCAAGGGACUACAGUUCAGUAUGUGGAUGAUAUUUGAUUCCGUAGUCCCACGAGAGAAAUGUCUGAUGGCAAUUCUGUAACUUUACUUGAUUUCUUGGCAGACAGGAGAGGGUACUGCAUCUUCCUUAAAAAGAUGCAAAUAUCUAAACAGAAAGUACAAUAUUUGGGAUAUGAGCUAACGCCAGGUCACCAUAUCCUGUCUACUGACAGGAAAAAGACUAUAUUAGAUCCUGGACCCCCAGCUAUGAGAAAACAACUCCGUACUUCCCUAGGAAUAGCAGGUUCUUCCCAGUUUACACUUUCCUAGGUAUGGAUUCCUGGAUUUGGGCUCUUAGCCAAACCAUUGUAUGGUUCAGUUAAAAGCCCUGACGAGGAACCUUUAUUCUGAACUAAAGCCCAGCAGACGGCCUUUCAAACAUUAAAAGCUUUUGCCAGCCCCCGAUUUGGCUUUACCAAAUUUAGAAAAACCUUUCACUGUAUAUGAAGCAGAAAAACAGGUACAAGCUGUGGGAGUUCUUACCCAGAAAUUAGGAAGUGAAACAAGACCGGUGGGCUAUUUUCCGAAGUCACUCGAUAAUGUCGCUCAAGGUGGCGGCUUGUCUUCGAGGGGUGGCUGCAAGAGGCCUCCCAGUAGAAGAGGCCUCAAAACUUACUCUGACACAGUCUCUGCGAGUGAUGACUCCACAUCUGGUCCAGAGUGUCUUAGAAACCAAAGGCCACCAAUGGAUGACGGGAGGCCACUUAGCAAAUACCAGGCUAGAUACACCUGAAAUAAUACUUAAAACCUGUCAAAGCUUAAGCCUAGCUAUCCUUAUGCCUGGCCAUUAUACUUGUAUGAUAGACUGCGACUACUCAGAGAUUAUUGAUCCUGUUUAUUCUAGCAGACCAGAUUUAAAGGAGUCCCCUAUUGAAAAUGCAGAUGAUAAUUGGUUUACUGAUGGCAGUAGCUUCCUGGAUAAGGGAGAGAGAAAAGCUGGAUGUGCUAUAGUUAGUUUAAUUAAGACCACUGAGGCAAAAGCCCUUCCAACAAAUACUUCUGCUCAAAAGGCUGAAUUAAUAGCACUUAUCCAUACUCUUCAAUUGCUACAUACCCAUGGAGGAAGGAAAGGGGAUUAUUAUCAAGCCGUAAUUCCCCAAUCAAAUAUGGGCCUGAAACUAUUUCUUUUCUUUUCUUUUCUUUUUUUUCUAAUGUUUAUUUAUUUUUUGAGAAAAAGAGACAGAGCACAAGCAGGGGAGGGGCAGAGAGACAGGGAGACACAGAAUCUGAAGCAGGCUCCAGACCCUGAGCUGUCAGCACAGAGCCCAAAACAGGGCUUGAAUUCACAGAGUGCAAGAUCAUGACCUGAGCCGAAGUUGGAUACUUAACUGACUGAGCCAUCCAGGGGCCUCUGAAAUUAUUUCUCUUCUUGAGGCUGUAUAUCUAUCUAAGGAGGUAGCUGCAGUUCACCUCAAAGGACCUCAGAAGGAUAUGAUCUUAGGGGGACCUGGGUGGCUCAGUCGGUUAAGCAUCUGACUCUUGAUUUUGGCUCAGGUCAUGAUCUCACAGUUUGUGAGAUUGAGCUCUGCACAGGGCUUUGUGCUGACAGUGCAGAGCCUGCUUGGGAUUCUCUCUUUCUCCCUCUCUCUGUCCUUCCCCCACUUGCAUGCAAACAUUCUCUCAUUCUCUCUCUCUCUCUCUCUUUCAUAAAUAAACUUAAAAAAAAAAAAAGGAUAUGAUCUUAGAAUCUAAAGGAAACAACUUGGCAAACCAUGCAGCCAAACAGGCAGCGCAAAAUAAAUAUUCAGUCUCAUACCAAUCUUAACUCCAAUAAAGUCCAUAAUUCCAAUCUAUUCAGACCAAGAAAUUCACAAAGUGCAGGAAUGAGGAUAUUCAAAAAAUGCAUAGGACUGGCUUGUUAAUAAUAAGGGAAAAAUCUUUAUACCCAAAAAUAACCAAUGGAAGAUAAUACAGGGUUUACACCAGGCUACUCAUUUGGGCAAAAUACUUUAAAACAUUGUAUUAAAAACAUAUUUGAUCGAAUAAAUUUAACAGCUACAAUAAAACUGGUCUGCCGAUCCUAUGUUGUUUGUGCACAAGUAAAUCUGGAAGACACAGUCUGCCCUCCCCCACUUUUAAAACCAAUCCAAAGCCAUAGGACAUAUCCAUAAGAGGACUGGCAGCCUGAUUUCACACAAAUGCCUCCUUGCAAAGGCUAUGAGUUCCUACUGGUGUUUGCUGAUACUUUCACUGGGUGGAUCGAGACUUUCCAUGUAAAAUGGAAAGAGCCACGGAAAUAACCAAAGUUUUCUUGCUAGAAAUUAUCCCUAGAUUUGGCCUCCAUGAGCCCUUCAGAGUGACAAUGGUCCUUCUUUUACUAUGCAAAUAAAUAGCACAAGAUUUUAAAAUUAAAUAUUUUGGAGGUGCCUGGGUGGCUCAGUUGGUUAAGCAUCAGACUUGAUUUCAGCUCCUUGCUGGGCAUGGAGCUUGCUUAAGAUUCUCUCUCUUCCUCUCCCUCUCCCUCUGCCCCUUCCUUGCACCCCACCCCCCACCUCAGUUCUCUCUCUCUUUCUAAAAAAAAAAAAAAUUAAAUAUUUUCUACAUUCAGCUUGGCUUCCACAAUCCUCUGGGAAGGUGGAAAAAGCUAAUCAUACUCUAAAAUGAUACCUUACUAAACUUAGCCCAGAGGCCCAGGAAAAUUGGGUUACUCUCUUACCAAUAGUACUUCUCAGAGUAAGAACAGCUCCAAAACAACCUCUAGGACUUAGCCCUUUUGAGUUAUUAUAUGGAAAGCCAUUUCUUACAGUAGACUUGUUAUUAGAUCAAGAUUAUAAUACUCCAUCAAAUUUUUCACUUAAGGUUGGUUUAAUGGUAAGUUACUUAAUGAGUAUACUGAUCACAUGCUCCCCAAACCUGAUUUAACUACAACUGAAAGUCCGCCGCACGUAAGUCCUGGAGAUAUGAUUUAUUUAAAAGAUUGGAAGUCAAAUACAGCGGGGGAUUUAAAUCCAAAAUAGAAAGGUCCAUAUGUACUCCCACUGCAGUAAAAUUAGAGGGGCACUCUUCAUGGGCUCAUAUCUAGAAUAAAACCUGUACCUCCUUCACAGGAAACCAGUGAGCAAACUAACAUGCCUUCUUACACCUGUGAACCUGUAGAAAAUCUAAAAUUCCUCUUCAAACAACAAUGAAGGUUGUAUAUUUUCUCCUUGUUUUCUGUUCAUCUAUCUUAGCUGACAAUUCCUUUCUAUAACGGGCACAGUAUUAUACUGAACUGCGACCUCAAACAACUUGUUGGAUAUAUGGAAUUUGCUCAAGUCAAGUUCAUCUGAAUUCCCUGGUGGGUUUUCCCCUUUGCAAGGCACUGAUUGGCACUCUCUGUAUACUUAUAUUUCAGAAAUAAUAUAUAAUGAUACCACGUUUCAUUGAUAAAUCUAUCACUACUUAGAAUGUUUCUUCCCAGCCCAUGACCAAUAGAACAUGGAAUUUACCAAGACAUAACCAGACUUUUUCAUACCCUCAAACUAUUAAAAUAUUAACUGACUUUACAAACCCACGAAUUGAUGCCCUCUAAUGAGUGCCUAACUUACAAAACCCCACUUAUCACUAUACUGAGGAUGGCAUAUAUCAAAUUUGGGAUGGAUAUUUAUGGCUCACACCCACUACUGGACAGUUCAGUCCAACGGCAAUUUUAUGGGGGAGGCAAGAAAUCAUACAUAUGACACUUGGGCAAAUAGCACAUGGCAUUUAGGAUGGCUAUCAUUAGAACAGGUUCUCAAACCAUUAUGCUCCAGGCAGCCGAUUGGCUUGCUACUGGUUGGAUAAGGCGACCUGGAAUCAGAUGGCUGGCUCCAAAUGAAAUCCACUGGUUAUGUGGAACUAACCACAUAUCCUCUAGGUCAUCGUCGCACCUUAGGUUUUGCCUGGAUUCACGGGUGCGUUAUCCAACCAUCACUUCCCCCAGGUGAUCUUCCCAAUUUAAAAAUAAGAUGGACACAGUCUAAAAAACAGAUAAUCACUUGGUGUCCAUUUUUGCUCCAUCUGUAGGAUUAGAAAGUGUAAUUUGGCGUAUAGAAGCCCUUAAUAAAUGCACCGUGAAGGUCCUCAAUGAUUCACAGAACAGCAUCUCCUUACUUAAUACUUAAGUCGCACAGAUAAGCAAGGCUGUUCUACAAAAUACAAUGGCUUUUGAUGUCCUAACAGCACAAGGUGGUACAUGUGACAUUAUUAACACAGGAUGCUGUGUAUACAUCCCAGAUGAUCACAAAAAUGUCACAAAGCUAUUAAAAGAUAUGAAUACCCAAAUCAAGGCUCUACAAAAUCUUUCCCUCCUUUUCAGUGAUUGGUUACAUUACUGGUUUGGAGGGGCAUUAUGGACAACUAUUAAGGGUCUCUUUGUUGCACUUCUCAUUCUUAUAGCCGUAUUCAUCCUAACAUAUUGCCUUUUUCAGUGUCUCUCUGCUGAGACUCCAUCACUACGAUGACUUCACAUCAACAGAUGAUCCUUUCCACAGAGAUACUUCUUUACUGUCCACAUUGGAUUCAGCUGCCUCUGCCUUUCGUAACUCCCCUAUACAUUCCCAGACUGACCAAUAUUGACCCAUAGGUAGGGACAUCUCUCUGCCCCUCUUCAGCAGGAACAAGUUACAGAAGAUAAGACCUUCCUCCCUCAGCAGCCUUAAAGAUUUAGGGGUCAAAAUUGUUGGGGGGGGGCAGAGGUGAUGUGGAGAACAAAGGCCAAAGGAAAUGGAGAUAAAAUUAAAUUUCCUUAUAACCUACAGCCCAUUGACAAAUACUUGAGGCAGGCAGGGUAAAACAUUUCUCCUGAAACUCCCUACAGUCUUAAUGCUAAUGCCUGCUUAGAGGCAAAAAAAAAAAAAAAAAAAAAAAAAAAAAAAACCCACAAAAAACAAAAAACCUUAGCUUGAGGAUAGUCAGGUGUUUAGGAUCUGUAAGUCUUCUUUAACAUAUGAAAGCCCUUUCGGAAACUUCCCCUGGUCUUUAUUUCCCCAACUCCCAAGUAUACAGUCUGUCAGCCCUCACACUUAAAAUGCAGCUCUUUCUGCCCAUGGGUCCUGCCUCAUGCUUUAAUAAAAGCAUCUUUUUGCACCGAAGGGGCUCCUGGCUGUCUUAGUCGGUGGAGCACACAACACUUGAUCUCAGGGUUGUAAGUUCGAGCCCCAAACUGGGUGUAGAGGUUACUUAAAAAUAAAAUCUUUAGGGGCGCCUGGGUGGCUCAGUAGGUUGAGCAUCUUACUUCAGCUCAGGUCAUGGUCUCACGGUUUGUGGGUUCAAGCCCUGCAUCGGGCUCUGUGCUGACAGCUCAGAACCUGGAGCUUGCUUUGGAUUCUGUGUCUCCCUCUCUCUCUGCCCCUUCCCCACUUGUGCUCUGUAUCUUUCAAAAAUAAACAUUCAAAAAAAUAAAAGAAAUAAAAUAUCUUAAAAAAUAAAAAAUAAAAUAAAAACACCUUUUUGCAUCAAAGACAUCUCAAGAAAGAAACUUGGCCUUGGCUCUGAACCCUAACACUUCAAACCGCAUGAUUAUCUCACUUAACUCUUGAAACAAUCCGUAAGCUAAGUUCUGAGGGGUGGAAACCAAAGCACGGAGAGGUUUUAAAAAAUGUUUACAGUGAUGGAGCUGGACUUCCAACCUACUUCACCUCACCUUACAGCCCAUGCCAUAAAAUGCCUUUUUCUAGAAUACCUUACCUUUCCCAUCAUGACUUACAAAACGUGUGCUCUUACCAAGCUCUGCCCAGGAAUUCUCAGUCUGAUUUCCCAGUCUGGACUCUGGACCUUCUCAGAGGUUCCUCCUGUAUCAGAAGUACCCUAUGUCCCCUUCCCUCUCUGCCAAGCAAACUGUUUUCCCCACACCCUCUCUUCAAAGAUUUCCUCAUGGAUACCUUCUCUGUGAGGUCCUCUCUUUGUGGGUGAAUCUGAGAUUGAGAUUCUCUUGCUCUUGUGUUCACUGUAAAGCUUAGGUAUUUUCCUAUCAUUGGAUGGCCAAGCUUGUGGGAACUUUUGUGUCCACCUGGAUGUCAGCUCCUUGAGAGUGUCCCAGUCUCAAAGCAGGGAGAACUUUCGUCCGCUUUCAAUAUGUCCUAACCAGUCUCUACUCUGAGAUACUAGUUAACACAUAACAUUUGUAGAAUAUGAUGAUAUUGCCAACAAAUGUGUAUUCACCUGCCUUCUCUAUAAAUGUAAGUGGCCAAAACCUCUAUAAGGAUUUUAAUCAAGAGGUAACUUUUCUCAAAACUGGAUUGCUUUAUUUUCUGAACUUAUACCUAGCUAGGGAUUUGGUCAUUUCAUCCUUGUGUUUUAUCUACCUUUACACUGUUCAGUUGCUUCUGAGUUAAAAGGGAAAGGCUAGCAAUUUCCUGCUCCUUGCCUGGUCUGUUGCUAGAAACGUGUGAGAUUUACUUGGCUCCGGUUUCCCUGAAUAUCUCUACCUUUCCAAGGAGGCAUCCAAACGCUGCAUUAAGGCAGCAUUAAUCUCUGCAGUGUUUCUUCCCGCUCAGGAGUUACCUCUUCCUGAAUCCUCUUCGUUUAUUGGAGGGAAAUUCCUAAUUGCCCUUAAUUUAUCACUCCUCUGACCCUGUUUCCAUUGCUGAUACAUUUUAUUGGCUUCAUGAAGACAAGACCAAAGCACUAAACUAAAAUAAAUUAAAAUGAAACCUACUUCAAUAAUUUAAGUUCCUGAAUGUUCUCCCUUACCCACUAUGGCUUUUAAGGUAUUUAAAGAAUAUCUCAUCGUGUGGCUUUUUCUAAAGCCAUUCUUCCAUCACUGUCUACUCCAGAUUUUUCUCAGUUCACUUUUGUACCCUGUUAGUAUUGUUUCAGUCCUCCUACCCCUUUCUAAAACCUCUUCUUUUUAAGCAUGCUGGUUUUAUAAAUCAAGAGCCUUCUGUUUUUCCCAUGGUCAUUUUUGGUUAUUCUCAUGUGGUCCUUCCUCAUUUAGUAGUUUUUCUGAGCAGUUAAGUCAUUUCCUGGACACAGAGGGUUUCAAAGAAGCCUUACUUUGCCUUAUUAUCCACUUUGCCCUCAAUCAACCCUUUGUAAUAGUAUCUGGUUCUUCCAAUCCUAUUUAACAUCCUCAUCUACUUUAUAAUCAACUCUCCAUUCUCUUCAAUGACCAGCUUCUGUGGUUCAUCCUUCUAUUUGCCUUUCUCCCGUGAUAUUACAUCCGGGCUGAUCAAAAUUGAGCUUCCUUUAGCUUUCUGCCAAUUGAUUUUUAGGAGUGAGUCAAAAAUAAUUUUAUUUUGGGCUCAUGGUAACUCUUUUUCACUUGUGCCAAUAAUCAUGUAUGCUAAACACAUUGAUUUAAAAAUAAGCACAUGCUUAUUGUCAUAAAGCAACCGUAUUUUUUCCCAUGAUCUACUACUAGUUAUAAAAACAUUUCAUCUCCUUAGGUAAUUAUGAUAGUCACAGAAAUAACUUUUAAAUACUGCUAUGUGUCUUCUCUAAAAAACUAUCUCAUUUUCAUGAAAACUGCCUUCUUGGUCUUAAACCAUCUACACUUGUUAAUACCUGUGGUAUAGAUGCUUCUUAGGUUUCUGAUGGAAAGAUUUUGCUGACUGAUCCAAGCUUAGACUUUUGCCCUUUUUUUGGGGUGACAGACAGGUUUUUCUAAAUUAAUUAUGAAGUCAUUCUCAUCUGGAAUUCAUAAUAUUCAUGUAACAGUCUCAAAGAGCUUCAUGAAUAAAGAUAGCUACUGUAGAGUUUGACACUCUGAGGUAUAAAGGGGUUAAAUUAUGAGCCUCAGCAACCAAACAAUAAGGCCCUGAUGGAACCAAAGAGAGCCAGCCUGCCUAAAUCAUUUCUUCUGACUCCUCUCAAGCUCCCACCCGGUGUCCCACCUCCCGUCCCUUCUCCUUUGUUACUGGCUGUUUCCUCUGAUUGUAAUUCAUUCUGUAUUCCUUCCUGCUCCUCUGUCUUGGCUAAUUGUUCUUUUCCCACACUACUUGGUUUUAAUUUCCUCUAGUUAUCACCUUAUCACCAAUGUCUACACUUCCUCUCUCUUUCUGACCUAUCUCCAGUUCACUGCUGACCUGCAGGGUCCCUAGCACAACUGCUUAAUUCCCACUGUACGCGGGUUUGCCGAUCUCUGAAAUGGGAGUGGUAACUCUCCCUUUCUUCCCAAAGCCGCUGGAUCAAAAUCCAGUCUUUCUGGGACAGUCUUACCAAUAACAAACUAUGGGCGUGCUGCAUUCUGUGAUUAUUUUAAUGAACAUUCCAAUCGGUUUCACUAGCAAAGCUGGAAGCUGAGAGGAUAUGUCAUCCUUUUGGCUCUGUUUGCCCCUAUUUUUAACUUUGCGAGGGAAUCCAGCCACACGAGUUCUAAUUUUCUCUGUGUGGCACAUUCACUGACAGAGCAAUUUUCUCUGUGCUGUAAAAAUUUGAGUGACAUCCUGAGUAAACCUAUUAUCUCUUUUCUGAGGAAAAAAAAAUGUUCUUCUUACCCUUCCCCACAGGGUGGUGUCCUAGGAACUCCGUCAAAACACGUAGGCUCACUCACCAAGUUUCUUCACCAAGGGUUAAAAUGGAAAUCUUAAUUUUUAAAAGCUGGUGUCAUUAUUGCAUUAGAGAAGGAGGGGUAUCCAAUAUUUAACGUAGGCUCAUUGAUCCCAGGGUG